NNNNNNNNNNNNNNNNNNNNNNNNNNNNNNNNCAUGCAUGUGUAAGCACACACUGUUUAAAGUGAGCGCGAUGCUCAUACACAGCACAGUCUAUAGACUACAUCAUGAUUACUGCGGAUCUAGAGCUAUACACGCACAAAACUCAACUGAAUUGGUGAAGUGCUUUUAUUAGAACAAAAACCGAACGGCGUUUGACGAAUGUUGAACGUCGAAACUGUUUGGUGAAUCUGAAUAAGUAUUUCUGAUCGCAUGGUCUAGCACCGGCGACAUCACUUUCAAGUGUCUGCCUUAUCAACCUUCGAUGGUAGUCUAUGCGACUACCAUGGUGAUAACGGGUAACGGAGAAUCAGGGUUCGACUCCGGAGAGGGAGCCUGAGAAACGGCUACCACAUCCAAGGAAGGCAGCAGGCGCGCAAAUUACCCACUCCCAGCUUGGGGAGGUAGUGACGAAAAAUAACGAGACGAUUCUCGUUUGAGAAACGUUAUCGAAAUGAGUACGCUUUACACACGCUAACGAGUAGCAAUUGGAGGGCAAGUCUGGUGCCAGCAGCCGCGGUAAUUCCAGCUCCAAUAGCGUAUAUUAAAGUUGCUGCGGUUAAAACGCUCGUAGUUGAAUUGUGGUCUUAGACAACAGUCCCCCUACAAAGGUGUGGCACGGUUGCUCGAGAUCUUCAUUCGUGGUUGCUGUUGUUGCUCUUCAUUGAGUGUCAAUGGUGCCUCGAGAUUUUACUUUGAAAAAAUUAGAGUGCUCAAAGCAGGUUGUGAUGCCUGAAUAAUGGUGCAUGGAAUAAUAGAAUACGAUCUCGGUUCUAUUUUGUUGGUUUUCGAACCGGAGAUACUGUUUGAAAGGAACAGACGGGGGCAUUCGUAUUGCUGCGUUAGAGGUGAAAUCU
rfam:Trichinella spiralis unplaced genomic scaffold Scfld4, whole genome shotgun sequence.